GAGUGAAAGAGAUCUUUGGUUUUGCCUUUGCUGACUGCUGAUCUGAUCGUCUCAAGUCUGGUGACCUGCUGCAGAAAACCCUCUCCCUCUAUCAUUAUCAAGCAAUUCUGUCUAUCCUAUCACUCUCCCAACUCUAUCUAAUUUGACAGCCAUUCUAUCUUGUAUCAAUCUAUCCCAACUGCUCUAUCUAAUUUGACAGCCAUUCUAUCUUGUAUCAAUCUAUCCCAACUGCUCUAUCUAAUUUGACAGCCAUUCUAUCUUGUAUCAAUCUAUCCCAAGCACUCUAUCUCGUUUUCAGAAAUCCCAGUUUUCAGAAAUCCCAGUUUUCAGAAAUCCCAGUUUUCAGAAAUCCCAGUCUUCAGAAAUCCCAGUCUUCAGAAAUCCCAGUCUUCAGAAAUCCCAGUCUUCAGAAAUCUAAGUCUUCAGAAAUCCAAGUUUUGAAAAAUCCAAGUUUUGAAAAAUCCAAGUUUUGAAAAAUCCAAGUUUUGAAAAAUCCAAGUUUUGAAAAAUCCAAGUUUUGAGAAAUCCAAGUUUUUGGCAAUUGAAGUUACCAGAACUUUGUCAAUCUGUAUUCAGAAUUCUGAGAGAUCUCUGCUCUCACUGCUCCUCCUUUCCUGUCAUUAAACUCUCUCUCCAUUCAUUUUGCUGGAAAAUAACAAUUAGAAAGUUGAAUAUACAGUAGUAGAAUUGCAGUACAGUAGAACUUAUAGUAGAAACUACUUAUACAGCCCUACAUUUGUAGUUUUAACUUGGCAUUACACUUUGAAAUAAACACUGAUAGUUUGGCUUACAAGUGCAAUUUGAUAAAUUAUAUAAACUUAUAUACACCUUUUUUGAGAUAUAUUUGUAGUAAGAUAAUCUGGUUAUUUUGUAAUUCAGACUGUUAUAUUCACAUAAAUAUUAAAUUUGAUUCAAAUACAUUUUUCAAGUCUGUUUCAUUGGUUAUAACAUUUGACUACAAGUUUAUACUAUUAUUAUUUAAGGACAAACCCUUUUUUGUCACUCAGUGUAAGUGUUCAGUUACAGUUGUCAUCUAGAGGCUGCCCUGAGGACCCAGACUUCCUGUUUCCUGACUGCUGCAGAACAUCCAGCUGAAGAAUCCCCAUCGCCUGUCAUCUGAUCACCUCACCAUCACAGCUCAUAUUUGCUUUAAAUUUUAAAUAUCUGAAAGAUUUACACAGUCUACUUAAAAGUUAAGAGUUUUAUUAUAGCCUGUUGAUUGAUUGUUGAGAUUUAUUCUGCAUAUUACAUUACAGAAGUAUAGACCUAUUUGUUAUCCAGUCUGGUUAAA